rnacentral:precursor_RNA from 1 species
AGUUUGAGGUUGCUGUGAGCUAGGCUGAUGCCAUAGCACUCUAUCUGGGC